AGUAAAGUGCCUGAUUAAAGGAUUAUUGUGAUAGAAUAAAUAAUGUAAUUACUAUUACCUUUACUA
rnacentral:tRNA from 1 species